rfam:Triticum urartu cultivar G1812 contig1128981, whole genome shotgun sequence.
GUACUACUCCCUCCAUCCGAAAAUACUUGUCCUUCAAAUGGUUGUAUCUGGACUUAUUUUAGUUAUAGAUACAUUUAUUUUAUCCAUUUCAAGAACAAGUAUUCCCGGACGGUGGGAGUACUAC